rnacentral:rRNA from 1 species
UACGUAGGUGGCGAGCGUUGUCCGGAUUUACUGGGCGUAAAGGGCGUGCAGGCGGUUUGUUAAGUGCAGAGUGAAAGCUCCCGGCUCAACUGGGAGAGGUCUUUGCAUACUGGCAAACUCGAGGGAGGCAGAGGAAAGUGGAAUUCCCGGUGUAGUGGUGAUAUGCGUAGAUAUCGGGAGGAAGACCAGUGGCGAAGGCGGGUCUCUGGACCGAGACUGACGCUGAGGCGCGAAAGCGUGGGGAGCAAACAGG